GACAAGAGGUCUGGAGCCGAAGGUGAUAGAAGUUGCGAGAUGGAAGAAGGGGAUUUCCGAAUUGCAUAUUGGGGUGGAAAAAAAUGUUAGGCAAACCUUCGUUUGCAAGAUUUACAGCAUCGUCAUCCUCCAAUUACUACUGACUGUGGCAAUUGUUGCCGUCUUCAUCUUUGUGACUCCUGUGAGCAUUUAUGUGAUCAGUCACAUUCCAUUAUAUUAUGUAUCUUAGUAAGUAUUAUUCAGAUACCAUUGUUGAUCCGUUGCUCUGCUGUAAUCUUCCCUAACUUGGUGUUUCGGGAAUACAAUCGAAGAACUCCAAGCCAUGACGGGAAUUACCCAUGAUGUAUUGGAAUUCUGGUGCUGUAGCCCCAACCCAGAUUGGGAAAAGCUGGUCUGUAGUUGACUAAGCUAUAGCCUGUAAGAUUCUCUGCUCUACUCUGACUUCCAUCACCACCACUCAUAAGGGUCUUAUCACUGUGUAACUGCAUUUGGUACUGCUUUUCAGAGGAAGUAUGUCCUACCUUCUCAACUAAGCAUAGUGUAAUAAAACUCUAUGAAAAGUCUGAUAAAACUUUAAUAUGCAUGUUCAAUUGUACGGCUUAAAGGACUUUCUUUGAAAAAAGUUUACUAGAUAUAGAGGGUAGCUUGCUGUUUAGACUUGUCAGCAUCCAGUUUGAAAUAACUUGUCUUUUCUACCUUCCCAGUGGUGUAUGUUUGAUUUGUUACCUAGUGCUGGUGCUUUGUCAAAAGAUCCAGUAAGUAUCCUUAGGUAACAUCUGUGAUUUGAUGAUGAUGCAUCAAAUUCAGAAUCUGCUGGGAACUCUGGGAGGAAGGGUGGAGAAGUAGUAAAAGGGUUGGCAUUCUGACAGUGUGGAAAUACAGCCUUGCAAGAUGAUUUCUGCCAUUUUUUGUCUGCAGCAGAAUAGAGAGAUGUAAAAAUGAGGCCUACAUGAGGCACUUCUCUUACUUCCAAAUGAUGGAUGGGGAGAUAUGUUCAUAGGUUUAUAGUUGUUGUAGCUGAAAGAUAAAUUUGGAUGAAAAGCAGAAUAAGAAUAAGAAUCAAAGGGCUUAGGGUAGGUAAGCAAUGAAAAAUAAUGGGAAUGUCAUCUAUAGAAUAGUUAUACGGUAGUAUAGCAAUGAAGAUGCACUGUCACAACCCAGGGAUCCGAAAGGCCCCAGGAAAAGAGUUGUGGGUUCAGAAGAAUUGGAGUGAAAACUUUCUAACAUAGGAAAUUGCCUGUAUAAUCUUUUUGAGGCUUUUUUUUUGUAUCCCUUCACCAAAAUAUGGUUAUUGUUGACUUUCUUUGUGAUGGAACCCAAACUGCUGACUUUCUCCAUAUAGAAGUUAGAUUUAUACCUUCGUUAGUAGGAAAGCAAUUAACCCUUUUUCUUAGAUGGCUUUAAGAGAUUUUCACUAUAUUAACUCUUCCAGCUGUGGUUUCUUUUAUAUUUAACAUUUUCUUUGCAAAUUUCUUAAUUGUUUUAAAGUCAGGAUGCAGAACCUUUUUUACGCUAAAGGUUUCAAGCUAUAGUGGCUUUGCUUAAGAAAGGUGGAGCUAGAGAUCAAGAUGUAGCUUUUUAAAAUCUUAGUCUGGGAGCUGCCUGUGGCCAAAGUAACUUGUGAAUCUUGCUCUUAAGAGGCUUCAAAUAAAGUUCUCCUGAGUGUGGUUUGAAUCCUAAGGCCUUUUUCCCCCCUGCCUUGCUUGUUUUGCCAGAACCAGUAUUUUUUUCUUUGCAUCUUCUUUGGACUCAAACCAUAUCCUGCUAAGGCAACUGCUUGGCAUAGAACAUGGAGGAAGAUGGGUGUAUCUCUGAAACAAUUCUUCCAAAAUAUACUUUUUCUUGAAGUGGGGUCAUUUGUAUGGGUUCUGACUUGGUUUCUCUGAUCUCUUUCAGGAGAUGAUUUCCAUGGAAAAUAAUCCUUAUGACAAUCUUUGUAGGUAGAAUGUUGAUGUUACAGGUUGGGCCAGAUUUAUUAGAUGUGAAAUCCCUGACAUAAUGGUAAUGGUAAUGUAAUGGUCGUAAAAGGGCCUAGGAUGGACAUUAAAGAGGGUAAUGUAUUUGCAUUAUUACAGACCUUACAGUAAAAGUUAGUUGCAGUUUAUUAAAACACUUGGCAGGAAAAUGAUUGCAUAUCCUCCAAAUUACAAAUGUCUCAUUACAUUCAGACAGAGUAUCUAAAUAUUGUAUUGUUCCUUUUCAAAUAAAUAGAUACACAAGGUUUGUUACUGAGGGAAAAAUGGCCUAACAUCCAUAAUUUGGCAUUGGGGUAAAAUGCAGCACCUAGGCUGUUAACCAGUACAAGUUCCAGAAAUUAUAUAAUGCCUGUACUGAAAGAUCAGAACUAAUUGCCAGUUGCUUAACUGCACAAUUUAAGGUGUUACUAUUAAUGGCUUAAGACCUAAUUAAGGGGGACCAUUUCUCCCAUUAUGAACUUGUCCAGUUGUUAAGAUCUGAAGGUGAGCCAUGUUUUUCUGAGCCAUGAGAAAGGGCUUCCCCUGGGCUUCUUCCAGGCUACAAAAUACACAUCCCUGGGAGUAGCUUUUGCCUCUUCUACCCUCCUAGCUUUUAAAGAAUUGAAAAAUUUAUUUUGCCAGGCUUUAGUUUUUAACUGAUUUUAGCAUUAAUUUAUAUUUCUAACUUUUAAAAUGCUGCUUUAGUUGUUAGCCACCUUGAGCACAUGCCAGAGUAAGGCUAGGUCUAUAUUAACAAAAUAAAGAAAAACUACGCAGUAUUUUUGGUUGUAAUGCUAAGAACUGCUGAUCCAGAAGUAGCCAAGAUUGUUACAGGAGAAAAGAUGCAUUCUGCAUUCUUUCUAAUAGAAAAGUGUGUGUGUUGUAUGUUAGGGAGAGGACUCCUCUCCAAUUCCAAAGCUAAUUUUUGUGACUCCUCUCCUAUAGAAAAUAUAUAUUUGCACAUGUAAAACAGCCAGCCAGUCCUGCAGUCUUUUCUAUCCACAUUGAAUUAAGCAGAAUCUCUAAAUUACUGAUUCAGGAGUCGUAAGAUUUAUGUACGCUCCGUUUUUUUGUUUACCAUCCCUUUACCAAAGGGAAGUGAUUUCAGCUUACAUUUUCCAAAAAAGACUUGUUGAAUCUUGUAUCCUCCAAUUCACCAGAACAGUAUUUUCAAUGAUAGUUGGUUGCAUCUUUGGCUAUGAAGUAAUAUCAUUUUGAAAAAUAUCAAGUGAAAUACAUUGAUGUGGGAAUUAGCCCUUAUCAACUCUGUCCAUAUGGCAGCUCCAUGGCUCUGGCUUUUAUUGCAUUAAACAGGCUGCAUUGUUAACAGGACUGCUUAUUCUUGCUGAAGAUGAUAUAAUAGCAAUUGAAUGAAAUAGCCUUGAUCUGGGCUUGCUUCUUCAUUUAUGCUUGUUCCCUUCAGAAUGGGGAAGAGAAAAAGUCACAGUGGAAUAAUAGAUAAUAUAUCCAUCUUUAGUUUGCUGGCUAGAUCAACCAUUGCAUGUUUGUCUAGAUACAGCCAAUCCAGUACUACUUAGGUAAUGCUUUGCUAAUUUUAUGUUUUAUGUUUUACUUUUUUCCCCAGAUGUUGGCCUUGGGUUUUAUGACAGGUACCAUUGCUAGGUACUGCAUGAGGGAGUAAAUGAAAGCGCAUGCAUGAGACCAAGGCUGUAAUCCUUGCCAUGAUCAUCACUACAGUUAUAACAAACACUGUUGCUAUUUUCUUUUUCCAAACAAAGAGAAAUGUAAUUAACUGGAUCUUACCUAUCUUCUUCAGAUCUAUUGGGUCCAUAUGCUUUAUUCAGCCAUUUGUGCUAUCAUCUUUACCCUGUUCCUUGCUUAUGAUACUCGGUUGUUGUUGGGGAACAAGAGGUUUUCCAUCAGUCCUGAAGACUACAUUUAUGGGGCAAUCCAGAUCUAUGUAGAUAUCAUCUAUAUUUUCCUUUCUUUUUUAAGACUUGGGAGCAGAUGUUAGGGAAUUUUUUGUUGGCAACUUAAGGAACAUUGUUUUCAGAACAGAAGUAUCUUUGCCUUCCCCCAUAUGAAUCUGUUGUUUGCUUAAUACUGUCAUAACACAUUCUUACAAAUUUUGUUUCUGUAUUAUCAUUCCCAUUUUAUUGUAUUAUGUGAAAGCACUGUAUACUGUAUGAAAACUCAUUUUUGAGUAUAUGGGCUGAACCCAAAGUUCAGUAAACUUAAGUCCUCUGAAAGUAUUAUGAUACUGUCAAUGCAUGCCCUAGUGGCUUCAUUUGGAUUUAAUUAGAUUUUCCAGGUCCAAGCCUAAGUUUUACUGCAACAUCUGCAUCCAUGCCAGAGCUCUUACCUGUAACUAUUAAAAUUAGAAUAAUUCAUUCAUUCUUCCGUUAACAUAAAACAAUACAACUAGUAUAUUAAUAUAGCAUACAGCAUACAGCCAGAAUGUUACUGUAUUUCCCUCAUAGCACAUAUACAUUGGGAGGCUUGGUCAUAGCUAUGAUCUUAUUAGAAUUCUUAGAUUAGACCAAAGGCCCCUCUAGGCCAGGAUUCUGUUUCGCACAGUGGCUUCUUGGAUGCUGAUGACAGGGCUGUUGUGGUUUUUCAAUGACUAAUUUAGUUGCCAUUUUCUAUACCUUUCCAAGCCAUACAGUAUCAUUUUGGAAUACCCAGUUGUCGUGAUUGUAUGUUGCUUACCAGUCAUUCACAAUACUGCAGGCUGCCAGUCAGACAUGGAAUACAUUCUCAUGAAGAGAUUCUCUUUAUCAUGUAUGUAGAGAGUCAGAUAUUCCAGCCCCUUCCUUAGCUGGAGACAGAAGUUUGGUUCUUUUAAAACAAAAGGCAGCAGUUGCUAGACUAAGACUGUAAAUUGUAGAAUUUACCAUUUCCCCAGCAGCCUCCAAUUUAAAUGGAAUUUUUUUACCCACCCAGACUGGAAGAAGUCCAGGUAACUGAAGUAAAGGAAACAUGAAUGUCAAGAAUCUUUUAUUUCUUUAGAAAUAAAAAAAAAAAGUUCUAGCCAGGAACUUGCACAAGUUUUUGUGAUGUGUCCAAGUCUAAUGUUCUUUAUUUCUUUAUUUCUCUGUAAAAGUUAAAGAAUUUGGUUUCAUAUCAGCCUUGAAUCAUAUUGCAGGCAUGUGCAAAUAGAUAUACAUUUUCUUUACAAUUUCCUUGUGAUCUGUAAUAUAAAUUGGAAUCCCUCACAUAUCUCUAGUAGGGAUUCUACUAGAGCCUAGUAGGGAUCAUGCCAUUUGUGGCAGACCAGCAACUGGUUGUGGUCUAUCCAGAGCAUUUUAUUCCCUUCUGGACUCUUGUUUAAUUUGCCAGCUACUGUUUUCCUAUGGGUUUCUAAUUUGCCAAAAGUGAAUGCUUGUAUUUUAAUGUUUAAAAUUUCUUUUUACGCUUUUUAAUAAAACUUCAUUUUGUUUGUCUCUUAUUAUGAGGUUGGUUUGUCUCCCAAUAAGGAAGGGCUAAAUCCUCUAGCAACAUAAUUCUACACUGCACUGCCAGGAAGUUACUGUACUCUACUGAAAUUAUUUCCAGCUUUUGCAUCACAGGUUGUGAGAGACGUCUCUCAUACACAGACUGAAUUUAGGGGGUAGAAGGUGGGUGAUAAACCCUUUAGAAAACAGAUGAUGGCAGGAGUAACUUCUGAGACAAGGAUAGGAUAUGAAGAUCCAGAGGGCUUCUGGGUUGAGACCUCCAAUCUUCCAGCCUGCAGGCUCAGCCAUCCGUUAUACCAGUAUUGCAAAUGAAUUGCAUAGUAUUUUUGAUCUACAUAAUGCUGGCAUUUUUAUUUUCAAUUCCUUUCUUAAUGAUUGCCACAAUGUAGCUUGACUUUUUCAAGCUGCUGCUUUGAAAAAAGAGGAUAGCUACAGUCAUUCAGGAAAAGGGAAUCACAAUGAAUAAAUAACUAUAUGGUUGGCACUCCUCUUUAUCAUUGUGCUUUCUUCCCCAGAUUAAUUUUACAAGAAACCAUUAAGGUGCAAACCACCUUAGAUCUAUUUGUGUAGGUGCAAUUCCUCCAUGUUUUUGUUGUUUUUUAACAUGCACUGGCCUUAUAAGUUACGUAUGAUUUGUGAGGUGGGAGCUGCUCAGUUUACAUAUUACAAGCAUCAAACUAAGAGUAAUACAUUUUUAAGUGAAAAUCAUGCAUUUAAGAGUAUGGAUGUUUUGUGUAUGUGAAGAAAUAUGCCCAACUAAUGAGAAUAAAAUGCAUGUUUAAAUAGUGGGGAGAUUCUGAAUAUUUGCAUAAAGCUAUGCUAUUUAAUUAUUGCCUAGUUAUACUCCUGUAGUUCUAGAGAAGGCAGGUUCAGGACCAUAAGAUUGUUCAGAACAGACCUCUGAAGACAAAGGGUGACGUCUAUUCCUGGAGGAGUAGAUCUGUUGAUGACCCUCCUAAAAUCUGCACAUUUACCUUUAGGCAUUUCCACACAAACAGGGGUAAAGACAAAAGGGGGCCGAGCACCAGAGGUGUGUUCACAGGUGAAUUUUAGCUCCCAGACUAAA